rnacentral:rRNA from 1 species
UACGUAGGGCGCAAGCGUUGUCCGGAAUUAUUGGGCGUAAAGAGCUCGUAGGCGGCUUGUCACGUCGGGUGUGAAAGCCCCGGGGCUUAACUCCGGGUCUGCAUUCGAUACGGGCUAGCUAGAGUGUGGUAGGGGAGAUCGGAAUUCCUGGUGUAGCGGUGAAAUGCGCAGAUAUCAGGAGGAACACCGGUGGCGAAGGCGGAUCUCUGGGCCAUUACUGACGCUGAGGAGCGAAAGCGUGGGGAGCGAACAGG